rnacentral:rRNA from 1 species
UACGUAGGGUCCGAGCGUUGUCCGGAAUUACUGGGCGUAAAGAGCUCGUAGGUGGUUUGUCGCGUUGUUCGUGAAAACUCACAGCUCAACUGUGGGCGUGCGGGCGAUACGGGCAGACUUGAGUACUGCAGGGGAGACUGGAAUUCCUGGUGUAGCGGUGGAAUGCGCAGAUAUCAGGAGGAACACCGGUGGCGAAGGCGGCUCUCUGGGACGGUACCGACGCUGAGACGCGAAAGCGUGGGGAGCGAACAGG